rnacentral:RNase_P_RNA from 1 species
GGUGCCGGCCUAGCAGUCGCGGGGAGCCCGGGGAGAAAACCGGGCCUUCGAGGAAAGUCCGGACACCGCAGGGCAGGGUGGUCGGGGGACCGACCCGGGGAAACCCGCGGGAAAGUGCCACAGAAACACACCGCCCAAGCGCCGGGCCGCACGUGAGCCCGGUGCCGGCAAGGUUGAAAUGGUGCGGUAAGAGCGCACCGGCGGCGUGGCGACACGCCGGCCAGGCAAACCCCACCCGGUGCAAGGCCAAGCAGGAGCGUCGACGCUGCCCGCCGAGCUCCAGGUAGGCCGCAGGGCCGAGAGGCCCCAGCCGUCCGCCGGCGCCGCCGGAGGCAGGCUGAGAUGGAUGACUGCUCAGGACAGAAUCCGGCUUAAGGGCCGGCUACGGAG